UGCAGGGGUCUCAAACUCAUUUUUGCCGAGGGCCACAUUGACAUAUUGGCUGUCCUCUGAGGGCCAGAUGUAACUUACAAAUAUAAGAAAAUGUAACCAGAUGUAAUAUAAAAUGAAUGUAAUUACUCCUUAAUGUUAAAUAACUCUCAAUAUACUAUUUAUUCAAUCAAAUAUUACAGUUGCAUGGAAAAAUGUUUGCUUGUUGCUCUAUUAACAUAAAUCCUUUUAAUUUGUCAUGUUAUGAAAUCCAAAAACUCCAUCAAUCAAGAACCAAACUAUUCAAGUGAAUAGAAAUUACAUCAAGUACAAGUUAUAUUAACUUUGAUCAAAACGUUUGAUACUGAAAUAAGGCUUAAUAAAUAUAAAAUCAAAAAUUGUGAGCUGUGACAGAUUUAGCAUUUCCUCAGAUUUAGCAGUUCCUCAUCCAACCACUAGUCGGAGCUGCAGCUGCAGCACCACAAGCCCGCAGUCUUUGCUUAGUCAGAGCUACAGCCCAGCCACGGGCUACAGGACUCAGCUGAGCCUGUCUGGAGCGUUUUGAAAUUUAAGUUCUUCUGUGUAUGAAAUAAAAUAACCCCACUAACCGGAUAAUACAGCUCUCUACAGUUCAUCUUUCAGCCCAAGCAGCUAACAGCAGCAGUUUAGAGCAGCGUCACGGAGGCACUGCUGGGAUUACAUUAUAAACAGGUCAGUUAGCGCUGCUAACCUCAGGAUGUUUAUAACUACGGAGUUUAAUGGACACACCACGGCAGCAAGGUUAGACUGUUGAAGGCUACUGAAGACUACUAAAGCAGGCAACGCAGCGUAAGCAAAAAAAAAAACAAAAACCACACACGCACACCAAAAUACAAGUUAAGAUAAAAUAUGAAAACGAACAUAAUAAAGCAUAAAUAAUUAAAUUGAAUUGCGGGCCAGAUGUAUGUUUAUUUUGUUAACCCGUGAGGGGCCGUAUGAAACCGCGUGGGCCGGUACUUUGAGACCCCUGGUGUAAUGUAAAGGUGUAAUAGUGUUGAGGGAAGGUAUAAUAUUGUUAAGGGAAGGUGUAAUAGUUUUGAGGGAAGGUGUAAUAGUGUUGAGGGAAGGUGUAAUGUUAAAGGUGUAAUAGUGUUAAGGGAAGGUAUAAUAUUGUUAAGGGAAGGUGUAAUGUAAAGGUGUAAUAGUGUUGAGGGAAGGUAUAAUAUUGUUAAGGGAAGGUGUAAUGUAAAGCUGUAAUAGUUUUAAGGGAAGGUAAAUGUUUAGUGAAAUUGUUAUGGUGUGAAUCUAAGGUGUAUGUUAUGUUGAUGUAAAAUAAAGGCAUUAACCCCAAA